AGUGAACGCUGGCGGUAGGCCUAACACAUGCAAGUCGAACGGCAGCACAGUAAGAGCUUGCUCUUACGGGUGGCGAGUGGCGGACGGGUGAGGAAUACAUCGGAAUCUACUUUUUCGUGGGGGAUAACGUAGGGAAACUUACGCUAAUACCGCAUACGACCUACGGGUGAAAGCAGGGGAUCUUCGGACCUUGCGCGAUUGAAUGAGCCGAUGUCGGAUUAGCUAGUUGGCGGGGUAAAGGCCCACCAAGGCGACGAUCCGUAGCUGGUCUGAGAGGAUGAUCAGCCACACUAGAACUGAGACACGGUCCAGACUCCUACGGGAGGCAGCAGUGGGGAAUAUUGGACAAUGGGCGCAAGCCUGAUCCAGCCAUACCGCGUGGGUGAAGAAGGCCUUCGGGUUGUAAAGCCCUUUUAUUGGGAAAGAAAAGCAGCAGGUUAAUACCCCGCUGUUCUGACGGUACCCAAAGAAUAAGCACCGGCUAACUUCGUG
rnacentral:rRNA from 1 species